CAAUGUAGCACAACGGACCGGAUCCCGCCAGUGCAUCUACUGGCUUGUGUUACCAUGUCUUCAUUUAGCCCGCCAGCAAAACGAGAUUUUCCUCUUGAUCGGUGUGCACAGUGACGAAUGGAAAAUGAUACCCAAGUGACCAGACUACAACUUAUACCCUUACCUGCAACGCAAAGCACCGUGCGUACCAAUUUCCGACAGACUCGAGGAGUGAACAAGAAUCCUACGAUCUGAGAAGAUAGCACGCGGCUGACUUGCAAGGACGGAAUCGCCUAUCGCCGCAGAGGCGGAGCCAUGUGUGGCAUCCACGGGAAAAACACUCAGCUUCCCGGAAGUUUCGUCUAUCCGGAAAUGGCGGUUGAACUCCGAUUGUGUUGUUCGCAUAUCAUCGUGUUGCAAGCAGUAUACGAAACGUUCAAACAUUAAUUUUAGAUCAACAAAAGCAGCUACUGAGUGAGAUAGCCUGCGCCGUGCUUGGAAGGAAGUGCUCCAACGGUGUAGAUAUUUUGUUGCAUGUUAGCGAAUAUUUUAGUGUACCAUCCCGCCAGUGGUGAACGAAAGCUGAACGCCGAUCGGUGAAGGGCAAGCAGUGCGCGGUGGUGCCCUGGCAAACGUACCUGCUCGAUAACUACAAGCAUUCGUUAACACAAAAUAAUGUUGGCAAGUAUUGGCUAAAUAAUGACAUAUGUGGGAGUCAGCAAGUGUUGCCUUAUUUCGCUAAACGAUGGUUCAUAUUGGCUAUUCUGCAUAAAACCCUCGAAUGAUUGGUAAUGUUGGAUAGUGCUGGAUAAAUGAUGUUCAGCGUUUGCUAAUGUGUGACUAAUAUACGCUCUCGUCUGGCACAAGGAGCAGCAUAAUAGAGUAACAGUCAUGGAAGUGUACGGAACCCUCUAGAAUGUCUGUCUGUCAAUUCAUAACUGACCGCUGGGAGAAUAGUAAAUGUAAACGUACUUUUG
rnacentral:lncRNA from 1 species